rnacentral:rRNA from 1 species
GGCGAACGCUGGCGGCGUGCUUAACACAUGCAAGUCGAACGGUGAAGCGCCUUCCUUUUUGGUGGGUGUGGAUGAGUGGCGAACGGGUGAGUAACACGUGAGUAACCUGCCCCCUUCUUCUGGAUAACCGCAUGAAAGUGUGGCUAAUACGGGAUAUUUUGGGUCUUUCGCAUGAUGGGUCUGGGAAAGGUAUUGUUUCGGUGGGGGAUGGGCUCGCGGCCUAUCAGCUUGUUGGUGGGGUGUUGGCCUACCAAGGCGGGGACGGGUAGCCGGCCUGAGAGGGUGGACGGUCACACUGGGACUGAGACACGGCCCAGACUCCUACGGGAGGCAGCAGUGGGGAAUAUUGCACAAUGGGCGCAAGCCUGAUGCAGCGACGCCGCGUGAGGGAUGGAGGCCUUCGGGUUGUGAACCUCUUUCGCCAGUGAAGCAGGCCUGCCUCGUUUGUGGGUGGGUUGACGGUAGCUGGAUAAGAAGCGCCGGCUAACUACGUG